CCGUGCCCAAGAGAUCGGGAUAACACCUGGAAACAGAUGCUAAUACCGGAUAACAAUAGAUGAUGCCUAUCAACUGUUUAAAAGAUGGUUCUGCUAUCACUCUUGGAUGGACCUGCGGUGCAUUAGCUAGUUGGUAGGGUAACGGCCUACCAAGGCGAUGAUGCAUAGCCGAGUUGAGAGACUGAUCGGCCACAUUGGGACUGAGACACGGCCCAAACUCCUACGGGAGGCAGCAGCG
rnacentral:rRNA from 1 species